UACGUAGGGGGCAAGCGUUGUCCGGAAUUAUUGGGCGUAAAGAGCGUGUAGGCGGCUCGGUAAGUCCGCUGUAAAAUUCCAGGGCUCAACCCUGGAAAGCCGGUGGAAACUGUCGAGCUAGAGUCCGGAAGAGGCGAGUGGAAUUCCUGGUGUAGCGGUGAAAUGCGCAGAUAUCAGGAGGAACACCAAUGGCGAAGGCAGCUCGCUGGGACGGUACUGACGCUGAGACGCGAAAGCGUGGGGAGCAAACAGG
rnacentral:rRNA from 1 species